GUUUGAGCAGGGGAAGAACACUUAGAGGAGUUUACUUACUACAGGCAAGGAAGUGGAUUGUGUGUUUACAGUUAAGGAGGAGCUGCUGACGUUUUCCCUUCCCCCUUACGUUAUCAGAUACUUGUGACUUCUUACAGAUGGAGUCUGGAAGGUGCAGAGAGAGUGCAGUGCUCAUUGACACAGCAGGCUGGGACUAAACCCCGGGAGUUCCGCCAUGGGAUUCUGAGGGAACUGUAGUGACCUACAGAGGUGCUGCAUGGCUUCUGGGUCGCAGUGUCGCCUAUCUCCUCCCCUGGCUCCUAAACCUCAUUCAUUCCUCUCAUCUGGAUUGGAAUGCAGCCCGUAGACACUUAAUAAUCAGAUCUGGAACACUUCUGAUAUCAGACUGACGUCCCUCCUCCGAAGCACCCGC
ensembl:lncRNA